GCUCUCGUAGUUUAAUGGAUAGAAUGCAAACUUGCGGAGUUUGUGAUUGAGGUCCGAUUCCUCACGAGAGCG
rnacentral:tRNA from 1 species